rnacentral:lncRNA from 1 species
GGGAGAGUCUCUGCGUCCUCCAGCCCCCGCUUCCCUUCAUGUCGGAGGUCCUAAGCCCGCAGCGAAGUCCGCAAAGAGCUUUCCCCGACGCCUACGAGACCGGAAGUGCCUGGGCCCAGGUGGAGGAAGGACCCGCGUGGCCGCCUCCGCGCUCUCCCUGGGGUCCGUGCCCCUUCCGGCGUUUCUCCCGCGUCCUUCACCAUGGCAACUCGGGCGUCGGGAGCGUGGGCUGCGAGCCGAGUGGGUGGGGGAGCCGCCGGGCUCUAUCCGCCAGCCCACGAGAAGUGACGCAGGAGCACCAUUGAAGGAGAAUUAGACAAACUGGAGUCUACUGAGAUGAGGCUGUUGGGAAUGGCCCUGGUACCACAUCCUGAGCAGGGAUGGCCGAUGGAAUGGGGAGAAGACUCAGGUGGGGCUUGAGUGUGUCCUCUGAUGACUGAAGAGCCUUGGGAGCAAGCAUCCUUCCUGCUACUGUGUGUUUGCUGGUUCCAAUGAUACAUAAUUUGUGCUUUUCGUAAUUAAAGUAUUAUCCUG